rnacentral:rRNA from 1 species
AUUGAACGCUGGCGGCAUGCCUUACACAUGCAAGUCGAACGGCAGCGGACCUUCGGGUGCCGGCGAGUGGCGAACGGGUGAGUAAUGCAUCGGAACGUGCCAUUGAGUGGGGGAUAACGUAGCGAAAGUUGCGCUAAUACCGCAUAUUCUGUGAGCAGGAAAGCAGGGGGACCGCAAGGCCUUGCGCUCUUUGAGCGGCCGAUGUCAGAUUAGCUAGUUGGUGAGGUAACGGCUUACCAAGGCGACGAUCUGUAGCGGGUCUGAGAGGAUGAUCCGCCACACUGGAACUGAGACACGGUCCAGACUCCUACGGGAGGCAGCAGUGGGAAUUUUGGACAAUGGGGGCAACCCUGAUCCAGCCAUGCCGCGUGAGUGAAGAAGGCCUCGGUUGUAAA